CAACUUGAGAGUUUGAUCCUGGCUCAGAACGAACGCUGGCGGCAGGCCUAACACAUGCAAGUCGAACGGGAUCUUCGGAUCUAGUGGCGGACGGGUGAGUAACGCGUGGGAACGUGCCCUUUGGUUCGGAAUAGCCCUGGGAAACUGGGAGUAAUACCGGAUGAGCCCUUCGGGGGAAAGAUUUAUCGCCAAAGGAUCGGCCCGCGUUGGAUUAGGUAGUUGGUGGGGUAAUGGCCUACCAAGCCGACGAUCCAUAGCUGGUUUGAGAGGAUGAUCAGCCACACUGGGACUGAGACACGGCCCAGACUCCUACGGGAGGCAGCAGUGGGGAAUCUUAGACAAUGGGGGAAACCCUGAUCUAGCCAUGCCGCGUGAGUGACGAAGGCCUUAGGGUCGUAAAGCUCUUUCGCUGGGGAAGAUAAUGACGGUACCCAGUAAAGAAACCCCGGCUAACUCCGUGCCAGCAGCCGCGGUAAUACGGAGGGGGUUAGCGUUGUUCGGAAUUACUGGGCGUAAAGCGCACGUAGGCGGGCUGUUAAGUCGGGGGUGAAAUCCCGGGGCUCAACCCCGGAACUGCCCUCGAUACUGGCAGCCUUGAGUUCGAGAGAGGUGAGUGGAAUUCCGAGUGUAGAGGUGAAAUUCGUAGAUAUUCGGAGGAACACCAGUGGCGAAGGCGGCUCACUGGCUCGAUACUGACGCUGAGGUGCGAAAG
rnacentral:rRNA from 1 species